rnacentral:tRNA from 1 species
GCCUCGAUAGCUUAGAAGGGAAAGCAAACGCUUCGUAAGCGUUGGAUCAUGGGUUCAAUUCCCAUUCGAGGCU